GAUCAUUAACCUUUCAAAACAGGGUGCGUCGCGGCCCCCGAGGUGCGGAAACAAGCCUCGAGCGGUUUGGGGUCCUCCCCUUCACGCGCGCACGACUGCCAUCCUUACUUUACGAGCACCUUCUGUUCUCCCUCGGCGGGGCAACCUGCCGUUGGAACCGAAUAAACUCUUUUUGCAUCUAGCAUUACCUGUUCCGAAACAAACAAUCGUUACAACUUUCAACAAUGGAUCUCUUGGCUCUGGCAUCGAUGAAGAACGCAGCGAAAUGCGAUAAGUAGUGUGAAUUGCAGAAUUCAGUGAAUCAUCGAAUCUUUGAACGCACAUUGCGCCCCUCGGUAUUCCGUGGGGCAUGCCUGUUCGAGCGUCAUCUACACCCUCAAGCUCUGCUUGGUGUUGGGCGUCUGUCCCGCCUCCGCGCGUGGACUCGCCCCAAAUUCAUUGGCAGCGGUCCUUGCCUCCUCUCGCGCAGCACAUUGCGCUUCUUGAGGGGCUCCGGUUCGCGUCCAACAAGCACAUUUACCGUCUUUGACCUCGGAUCAGGUAGGGAUACCCGCUGAACCUAAGCAUAUCAAU
rnacentral:misc_RNA from 1 species